UUUACUCAGCUGAUUAUUUCUUCUUCUGUGCAGAAGCUUUCUCCACUCUAUGUUUUUGUUUGCUUUGCCAAAGAGCAGUUGGCUGAAAUGGACAUUUUCUCAGAGCUCUGGAGAAAAUAGCAUUGCAGCGUUUCAUCUGGGAUUGAUGGUCAGGAACAUCACAGAAGAAAAGGUUGAUGUGACUGCAUCAGCCCUUGCCCAGUUCCCACAAAAGUUUAAAGUGCCAUAAUGGUGGAAAACUAAAAGAAUAUUA